rnacentral:rRNA from 1 species
GACGAACGCUGGCGGCGUGCUUAACACAUGCAAGUCGAACGGAAAGGCCCUGCUUUUGUGGGGUGCUCGAGUGGCGAACGGGUGAGUAACACGUGAGUAACCUGCCCUUGACUUUGGGAUAACUUCAGGAAACUGGGGCUAAUACCGGAUAGGAGCUCCUGCUGCAUGGUGGGGGUUGGAAAGUUUCGGCGGUUGGGGAUGGACUCGCGGCUUAUCAGCUUGUUGGUGGGGUAGUGGCUUACCAAGGCUUUGACGGGUAGCCGGCCUGAGAGGGUGACCGGCCACAUUGGGACUGAGAUACGGCCCAGACUCCUACGGGAGGCAGCAGUGGGGAAUAUUGCACAAUGGGCGGAAGCCUGAUGCAGCAACGCCGCGUGCGGGAUGGCGGCCUUCGGGUUGUAAACCGCUUUCGCUCAUGACGAAGCUUUGUGUGACGGUAGUGGGUAAAGAAGCACCGGCUAACUACGUG